rnacentral:rRNA from 1 species
AAGGUAGCCGUAGGGGAACCUGUGGCUGGAUUGAAUCCUUCGCGAUGGAAAUGCCCUCUUCCCCCAACCAACAUAGGGGGCUAGCUUGCUUCCCACUGGCGGCGGGCGGGCGAAGGGUCGCCGUAGGUGAGGUAGCCGGGGGCAAAAUCCAAGAGUUCCAUUUUCCUUCUUGUUCAUCAAUCGGAAAUCAAGACAAACCGGGCACUACGGUGAGACGUGAAAACACCCGAUCCCAUUCCGACCUCGAUCUGUGGAAUCGUCUUGCGCCAUAUGUACUGAGAUUGUUCGGGAGACAUGGUCCAAGCCCGGUGAAGAAAUGAAAAUUUCAAAUUGCAUAUCAAUAA